UGGGGCCAUCACAUCGUUCUGGGGCCCUCAUUACAAGUUGGGAUUUUGGAGUUAAGUGACAGGGGGUAAUGCCUGGCAGCUCUGACCUCCAGGACUCAGUUUACCUUGCCCAUCCCAGAAAUGCCAGGUGCAUGUGAAUUGUCCUUUAUUACCUCCUGAGAGGCAUGACUUAAGAGUUUGUCCAAUGAAACUCCAGGAGUAGUCUGAGAGCUUCCAAUCAGAUUCAUAGCCAGUUCCCUUCCAUCCAAUGGGAUCAUGACGCAGUGAGGUCCAGAAAAGACUGACCUUGUCCACUGGGGCCUGGGGCCUGGCUGGGUCCAAUGAGGCUCAAAGAGAAGCCUGUCGCCCAGGAGACUGGGUGGGAGCUUUCCUCAUCCAAUCACGGAAGAAACUCUGUUCUGUCCAAUCCGAGAGAAGUUGGGCAAUCUCGUCCAAUCCAGGUCCCUGGUUGUUCCAGUCAAAUAGGCGUUGGCCCUCCGCCCCCCCCACUGGCGGCGGCGUCCAAUUCGGUCACAUGAGGCUGCAGCGCGCCGGGUGCAGCGCCCCCUGCAGGCGCAGGGCCGGGUGUGCAGGGCGGGCGCGCACCAGAGCGCAGCGCAGCAGCUCGCGGAAGAGACGCAGCACGUGCCAGUUGUACUUGGCGGAGCACUCGAGCUGGGGCUGCGCCCCCACCUGGUCUCGGCGAUGCGCUGCCGCAGCGCCUUCACGUAGUCGAAGCUGUCCGGGCUGCAGAUGUCGUAGACGAGCACGAAGGCGUCCGUGUCCUGCAAGCUCCAGUCCUUAGGAUCCUGCCACUCCUGGGGGCGGGAGGCCGGGGUUUGCCGGAGCCCCCUUCCCACGCUCCCACGCCCUGACCUUCUGCAGGGGCCUCGACGGUGAACUCAUAGUUCAUCCUCAGGCCUCGGCCGUCCCCAUCCCCAUCCCCAUCUGUGCGCCCUCUCCCGCCAGCUCCCUGGGCCCCACUGUCCUCAUGGCCGUCAGGGUAGAAAUUUACAAGCAGUGCCUGAAGCCGGUCACCUCCUUCACUCCCGGUCUCCUCUCUGCCCACCCCCUAUCUUCUUCCUCCUCCUCCCAGCUUUCCACAGCUCAGCU
rnacentral:lncRNA from 1 species